GACGGUGUAGCUCAGUGGUAGAGUGCAUGCUUCGUAUGCACAAGGUCUUGAGUUCAAUCUCAGUACCUCCA
rnacentral:tRNA from 1 species